rnacentral:rRNA from 1 species
UGGGGAAUAUUGGACAAUGGGCGCAAGCCUGAUCCAGCCAUGCCGCGUGAGUGAUGAAGGCCCUAGGGUUGUAAAGCUCUUUCACCGGUGAAGCGGUAACCGGAGAAGAAGCCCCGGCUAACUUCGUGCCAGCAGCCGCGGUAAUACGAAGGGGGCUAGCGUUGUUCGGAAUUACUGGGCGUAAAGCGCACGUAGGCGGAUAUUUAAGUCAGGGGUGAAAUCCCGGGGCUCAACCCGGAACUGCCUUUGAUACUGGGUAUCUAGAGUCCGAGAGAGGUGAGUGGAAUUCCGAGUGUAGAGGUGAAAUUCGUAGAUAUUCGGAGGAACACCAGUGGCGAAGGCGGCUCACUGGCUCGGUACUGACGCUGAGGUGCGAAAGCGUGGGGAGCAAACAGGAUUAGAUACCCCGGUAGU